CUGCUGCAGGGGCGUGCAAGGGACGGGCGUGGAAGGUGCUGGAACAGAGCGCGCCAAGGGUGGGGCGGGCGUGCAAGGGCCGGGUGUGCCCAGGUGUCCCCCAGGUGUCCCCCAGAUGUCCCCAGGGGUCCCCAGGUGUCCCCCAGGUGUCCCCAGGUGUCCCCAGGUGUCCCCAGGUGUCCCCCAGGUGUCCCCAGGUGUCCCCAGGUGUCCCCAGGUGUGCCCAGGUGUGCCAGGGACACUCUCAGGGACAUCCCGGGCCCCUCCCCACCCCCACCCCCGGCCGUGCUGAGGCUCCUGCGUCACCUGAGCGUGUCACGCUGGUCACGAUUGUCCCCUGUGUGUCCCCAAGUGUGUCACGAUUGUCCCCUGUGUGUCCCCUGAGUGUCCCAAGUGUCCCCGAGUGUGUCACGAGUGUCCCCGAGUGUGUCACGAGUGUCCCCCGUGUGUCCCCUGCGUGUCCCAAGUGUCCCCUGCGUGUCACGAGUGUCCCCCGCGUGUCGCUGCCGCCUCGGCCCCGCGCCAGCAGCGCCGCCGGGCCCUGCAAAUCCCGAUGUCCUUGAGGUCCCGAAUCCCAAUGUCCCCGUGGCCCCAAAUCCCGAUGUCCCCAAAUCCCGAUGUCCCCAGACCCCGAUGUCCCCAAACCCCGAUGUCCCCAGACCCCGAUGUCCCCAAACCCCGAUGUCCCCAGGCCCCGAUGUCCCCGUGUCCUUGUGGCUGCGCCAUCGCCGCUGCCAGGCCUGGGGCUCCGUGUCCCCGAUGUCCCCAAAUCCCGAUAUUUCCCAAUCCCGGUGUCCCCAGCCCCCUGUCCCCAUCCCAGCGUCCCCAUCCCGGUGUAAAUCCCGAUGUCCUGGAGCCUCGGGACGUGCAAAUCCCGAUGUCCCCAAAUCCCGAUGUCCCCAAAUCCCGAUGUCCCCAAAUCCCGAUGUCCCCAAAUCCCGAUAUUCCCAGAUCCCGAUAUUCCCAGAUCCCGCUGUCCCCGUGUCCCUGUGUCUGUCCCCACCCCUGGAAAAUCAGGAAAACCCCAUAAAAAG
rnacentral:lncRNA from 1 species